GAUGAACGCUGGCGGCGUGCCUAAUACAUGCAAGUCGAGCGAACAGACGAGGAGCUUGCUCCUCUGACGUUAGCGGCGGACGGGUGAGUAACACGUGGAUAACCUACCUAUAAGACUGGGAUAACUUCGGGAAACCGGAGCUAAUACCGGAUAAUAUAUUGAACCGCAUGGUUCAAUAGUGAAAGACGGUUUUGCUGUCACUUAUAGAUGGAUCCGCGCCGCAUUAGCUAGUUGGUAAGGUAACGGCUUACCAAGGCAACGAUGCGUAGCCGACCUGAGAGGGUGAUAGGCCACACGGGAACGGAGACACGGUCCAGACGACUAAGGGAGGCAGCAGUAGGGAAUCUGCCGCAAUGGGCGAAAGCUUGACGGAGCAACGCCGCGUGAGUGAUGAAGGUCUUCGGAUCGUAAAACUCUGUUAUGAGGGAAGAACAAAUGUGUAAGUAACUAUGCACGUCUUGACGGUACCUAAUCAGAAAGCAACGGCUAACUACGUG
rnacentral:rRNA from 1 species